rnacentral:rRNA from 1 species
CUACGGGGGGCUGCAGUGGGGAAUCUUAGACAAUGGGCGCAAGCCUGAUCUAGCCAUGCCGCGUGAGUGACGAAGGCCUUAGGGUCGUAAAGCUCUUUCGCUGGGGAAGAUAAUGACGGUACCCAGUAAAGAAACCCCGGCUAACUCCGUGCCAGCAGCCGCGGUAAUACGGAGGGGGUUAGCGUUGUUCGGAAUUACUGGGCGUAAAGCGCGCGUAGGCGGAUCAGAAAGUUGGGGGUGAAAUCCCGGGGCUCAACCCCGGAACUGCCUUCAAAACUCCUGGUCUUGAGUUCGAGAGAGGGGAGUGGAAUUCCGAGUGUAGAGGUGAAAUUCGUAGAUAUUCGGAGGAACACCAGUGGCGAAGGCGGCCCACUGGCUCGAUACUGACGCUGAGGUGCGAAAGCGUGGGGAGCAAACAGGAUUAGAUACCCGAGUAGUC